rnacentral:rRNA from 1 species
GACGAACCGUGCGAACGUUAUUCGGAAUCACUGGGCUUAAAGCGCGUGUAGGCGGGUCGGAACGUCGGCCGCUGAAAUCCCCCGGCUCAACCGGGGAAGGGGCGCCGAUACGACCGACCUGGAGCGACGUAGGGGGGACUGGAAUUCCCGGUGUAGCGGUGAAAUGCGCAGAUAUCAGGAGGAACACCAAUGGCGAAGGCAGCUCGCUGGGACGGUACUGACGCUGAUGCGCGAAAGCCAGGGGAGCGAACGGG